CUAACAUUUACGCACCUCCAAAAUCCGUUUGUGUUGCAUGUUUCACUUAGUGUCUGGUCGAUCAACUCCAAGGCCUUGUCUUCUUUCCACAGCUUCUAUGCCUAGGAUAGUUUGAAAACAUAAAGUUAUAUGGCAUAUGCAGAGAGAAUGACUAAAAUAUCAGUGCAACUGAAAGAUCCAAAGUUCUUACAUGACUUGGAAGGCCCAGAGUUCGGUCAAACUAAUAAAAUCUAGUGUUCCUCUUCCCAUUGGUGAUCUCAAGUACCAUAACACCGAAGCUAAAGACAUCAGACUUUUCUAAGAAAAAUCCAUCCAAUGCAUACUCUGGAGACAU
rnacentral:lncRNA from 1 species